UAACACGAAAAAAAAUCUUAGUGCCAAUAACUAAAAGUAAAACAAUAAAUAAGUUUUACUAUGUAAUCGGGAAAUCCAAAACUUGCACAAAAGUCGUAUGAGCUUGUUAUCUGCUUGAGCAAUGAGAUACACCACUUAAGGUGUUCAAAGUUCAAACUGCAAGAUAUGCAGUCAAUCCAUUUAUCAAGUUGACAUAUUUCUACUUUUACUUUAUCAACUCUAUUUUCCUGUCAAAACUCUUCAAAUGGCAUUUCUACUAAAAUCUCCAAAAGUUUAUUCUUAUAUUAGUAUAGAAGUAUUAAACAAAACAUGUUCAAAGAACUUCAGGAGGAGAUGGUAUAUUAGGAAUUUAAAUAUUCUCGUUUAUUUAUACAAUAAAGUGACUAUUUGAGAUUUGUGGCUUUACAUGAAUUCCCAAGUAUUCCGCAAAUAAAAAAAAGAAUAAACCACAAUUUGAAUACGUAAACGAAACAUCACCAAUAUGCCAAAAUUCUGUAAAUAAAAUAAAAUAAACAUAUUGAUAAAUAAACACUACUUUAGUAUAAAAAUUUAAUCAAUAGUUAUAUUAAUCAAGAAAACAUUAAAACAAUAAAAAAAAACAUAAAUUAAAUAAUGCUUCCAAAAUUCUGCCAAACUUAACGUCAUCCUUUCUCUUCCAUUUUAGCUCCAACACACUAAUUGGACUCCCCCUCCCCAACCCCUAAAUUCCGAUUAAAUUAAACAAUGCUUCCAAAAUUCUGCCAAAACCAAAACCAAAACCCAAAAUGUCUACACAAUUCUCACAAAUUUCAAUUAUAAUCUACACGAUCUGCUUCAUAACCACAGAGCCGCCAACGAUAUUGGUCAAAACCCUACCAUAACUUAGUCGAAAUUCUCUCCCUCGCCACAUUUUUAAAUAAAUACCGCCUCAAAAUUUCGACAAUAGUGGAGAAAGAUAACAGAUUUAUGCAGUUAAAGAGAAAGCUACAUGAAAAAGAGAAGAUCAUAAUGGUAUCAAGGUUAUAAAAAGACUUUGAUGACAGAGUUUGUUAUUCACGGAUAAGAUUAUCUAUCAAGGGACUGAUCUCUAAAAUAAGAAAUAGGUGGCAGAAAAGGAAUAAAGACGGGAUACAAAUAUUCAUGAGUCAUAAUCUUUCAAAACAGGAAGAAAGAUGGGAGCAAAGGACUUUGAGACUGUUCUUCAUAAACAUGAUAGAAAGAUUGCAGUAAUGACAUUAAGAAGGAACUGGGAUCAAAAAAUAAGAAAUAUAGGAGGCAGAAAAGGAUCAGAGAUUGCAUAAAAAUAUUCAUUGGAGAGAAACUUUCCAGAUAGGAAGAAAGAUAAGAGCAACGGAAGAGGAGGCUGAUCUUAAUAUACAUAACACCAUGGUUGCAGUAUUGACAUAAAGAAGGUUAGAAACCUGCAUGUAUUCAUGAGAAUAGUACUUACAGAAGAUAAAAUGGUAGUUUAACUUUGAUAAAAAAAAAUAUGCAUAUUUAAUAUGGUAAUGAACAAUAAUAAAAAAGAAUGGAGAGGAUAGAGUUGAACAUAAAAGAACAAAUGAUACAGAAAAACUCUUUGCAGGGUGAAUGGAGGGAAGAAAUUUAGGAAGAAUAGAACUGCCUAAAAUUUCAAUUGCUAAUUCUUGUUGAGUGAUUUUGGAAGAGUAUCAAGGUGGUGUAUUUAUAGAAGAAAGAAUGGUGAGUCUGCAACUAACAAAAACAAUGCAUGUUCCCAAAAAAUACACUAUAAUAAAAAAAGACCUUUCAUAUAAAAAAUAAAACAAUGGAAAAUAAAUAAUACUACAACCGGCCCACUUGAUUUCUUAACUUAAUAACUUUAAAUUAUUUAAAAUAGUAAAAAAUUAUCAAAUAUAAAUCUAAAUAAAAAAUCUAUCUAAUUUAUAUAUCAUAUUAAAUUAUUAUUUACAAAGUUAGGAAAGUAAAUUAUUGUAAACCUAACAUUAAGAACAUACUUCGGCCCAGUUGAUUUAUUCCAUUAAUAACUUAUUAUUACUACUAUAUAAAGAAGCCUCUACUUUACCCAAAUAAAACAUAUUUAUAAACCCUAGAAGAAGAGAGUAGCCGCCUAGCUCGGUAAAACAAAAAGGAGAGAGAACCAAAUAUGGAAAAUAAAGAGCCCUAAAUCAAAGGCCAACAUCUUUAUAAUGAUUAGAAAGGGAGCAAUAGGAUAGCGCAGACGUGGGAGACUCUGUAACUCUCAAAUGUUAAAGUAUGGAGUAGGAAGAAAGAAGAAGAAGAUACAAAAGGGACAAAUUGCUUUGGAAAGAGGCAAAAUGACAACUAUGAAAGAAUGAAAUCAUUCCUUAUUGUAAUACUGUAGAAAAGUACUUCAUUUCACCCCUAUCCUAUGUUAAUAUACAUAGGCCUGCUGGAAAGUGUUGUUUUCGAUACAUAGAUUAAUGAAUAAAUAAUUUUCAACUAAUAAA